UAGGGAAUCUUCGGCAAUGGGGGCAACCCUGACCGAGCAACGCCGCGUGAGUGAAGAAGGUUUUCGGAUCGUAAAGCUCUGUUGUAAGUCAAGAACGGGUGUGAGAGUGGAAAGUUCACACUGUGACGGUAGCUUACCAGAAAGGGACGGCUAACUACGUGCCAGCAGCCGCGGUAACACGUAGGUCCCGAGCGUUGUCCGGAUUUAUUGGGCGUAAAGCGAGCGCAGGCGGUUUGAUAAGUCUGAAGUUAAAGGCUGUGGCUCAACCAUAGUUCGCUUUGGAAACUGUCAAACUUGAGUGCAGAAGGGGAGAGUGGAAUUCCAUGUGUAGCGGUGAAAUGCGUAGAUAUAUGGAGGAACACCGGUGGCGAAAGCGGCUCUCUGGUCUGUAACUGACGCUGAGGCUCGAAAGCGUGGGGAGCGAACAGGAUUAGAUACCCUGGUAGUCCACGCCGUAAACGAUGAGUGCUAGGUGUUGGAUCCUUUCCGGGAUUCAGUGCCGCAGCUAACGCAUUAAGCACUCCGCCUGGGGAGUACGACCGCAAGGUUGAAAC
rnacentral:rRNA from 1 species